UGAUGAAGGCCCUAGGGUUGUAAAGCUCUUUUGUGCGGGAAGAUAAUGACGGUACCGCAAGAAUAAGCCCCGGCUAACUUCGUGC
rnacentral:rRNA from 1 species